GCCAUCUGUGUUUAUAAUUGGUACUGGCCAAAGAAGUGAGGCUCCUAUCCUCCUAGAGACUGAUGACCACAUUUCAAAAAGAUAUAUCCCCCUGAGGUGAUCAUUUGCAGUGUUGCUGAGGCAUAGAUUUGAAUUUAAGGUGCUGCUAAACAGGAGCGCUUCAACAAGUAAAUUACCUCGAACUGUUACAGUCCUUGAUGCUCAGCAGUCAUAUGAACAGAGAUUUUGUAGGACCAGAAACAGAAAUCCGAUCACCACUGGCUGGAAAAAUAUAAAAAGGGUUUUUUGGAAUCUUGUCUAUUCUAAGAGUA